rnacentral:lncRNA from 1 species
CCCGGAGAUGCGGCCAUUCAUCUUGCUUUUGUCCUGUGCGUUUCCGCCACUGCAGGCCACGCACGUGGACGCUCCAAUUACAGGAUCUCCAGUCCCUGGUCUAGGAUCUACCCUAAACUGAGAUGCAUCUACAAAGACUCUCUGUCCAAGUAAGGUCACAUUUUAAAGUCUCAGGAAGACAAGAAACUAGAGAGGAGAGAACACAAGCCAGUUUGCUCUAGACUGGCUUCACCCAGAAUGAUACUGGGAAGAUGGGUGCCUUUGUUUCCAUUCCAAAGUCAAAGAAAAUGAAGCAAGAGAUGCUAGGUGAUGGACUUCAACUCCCCAGGGAGAGUCCAGCAUCUCCAAACCUGCAUCCCACCCCUCCUCAAAUGAAUCAUGGCUCCUGAGUGAAGCCUGCAGCCCAGGGCAUGCCCUUGGCACUCUCAUGCUUAAAACUCCUCCCUGGUAUACCCCCCAACCCCAUUCAGACCUCCCUCAUCCUUUAUGUUCCUGCCAGCUAGAUGGCUCCUCUUUGCCCCAACAGGGCUGUGCUGGGCUCCUCCUCUGGUCUCUAUGCAUACCCCAAUAUUUCACUAUUAUUUCCUAUCUCCUUCCCCUGAUCUGCACGCUCCCAGAGGGCCAACUCCAAGGCAGACCCAUUGUCACAUGAUCACAGCUUAGCACACUAAUUGUAGGGGCAAGAAGUCCAUGAUAAGAAUUACAAUUAAAUCACAGAUAUGACAGCACUGCGUUGGACAAGCACAACUGAAACUUUUCUUACCAGUUUUCUAGUCAUCCUUUGCCUGAGAUCCUGAUCCCACCCAAAUCUGGGCCCAUAAAGCCCUAAUGUUUGUUUAGCCCAAAGGGCCAUGUCAUUUCAAAGGUUCAAGACUAGGAAACUGGCAAACCCCCUAUGUGAUAAACAGAAACCAGGAGAUUUGGUCAUGCGAUCCAAUCUUUAUCAAAUAUUAAUGUGUGCAGGAGUCACAGCGCGUGGGCACUUGCUUGUUGGAAACACACACCCUCAUUCAGCUGUGGCUGUGGCAGUUUUAGGCAAGUCUGUGGGGCAGAGUGGGGGGGGGAUGCUGCAGCAGACCCUGGGCACUCUUCUACAUCAAGGUUGUAGCUGAUCUGAGUGAGAGGUCAGAG